rnacentral:lncRNA from 1 species
GCACCUCUGCAGCCAGCGCCCGCCCGCGCCCCCAGGCCGGCACGCUCGGCCCCGCGCCCGCGCAGCUCCAGCGCCCUCCCCGCAGCGCCCACUGCACGCCGGGGCUCCAGCUCCCCGCGCCGCGCUCCCUCCCGCUCGCCGCAGCCAGGCUCCGCCCCGAGCCGCGACCUGGCGCCUGCUGACCCCGCUGGUCCCGCGCUGCACCCGCGCGCGUGGCGGUAGUGGCUGUGCGCGGCUCUGCGGGAGCGGCGCCCCAGCUUCCUUUCAGCGCGGUGCUGGUGCAGGCAGGCACAGGUAAAGGUGCCCUGCAGCCCUUCACCCCCCGGCCGGCGGGACCCUGGGCUGGGCGGCAGAAGGAGCACAGGAGCAGGCGGUGGGGGGAGGCAGUGGAAUCGGAGACCGGCCCUGGGAGGGCCCUGAGGCGGCGCGGGCACCGUCUCCACCGGCUGCUCUUACCCCGGCGGGAAGGUGGCUUUGGCAGGCUGGGCUGGGAAUUCCGACGGCGGAUUCUAGGUCCCAGGAAGUUUCUCAACUCGAGGCCUCUGGCAAAUAGCUGAACCUCUUUGAACUUUCAGGGUUCUGUAUGCGGAAUGCAAGGGUUAGACGUGAGAACAGGGCUUCCACCACGCUGGGACUCCACAUGUCCUCCCCAGGCCAGUAUUACACCUGCAUUUACAGGCUUCCGGCCUGUGGCUUCCACAUGGAGAAAGGAAGAGUGAUUCUUGUCUACAUGCAAACUGGCAAAGCUGUUGUCAGUUGCAAUGAAGCGAUGGUGCCAGUACUCAUUUUGAGUGUUUUCAAAACUUUUCCCAUGGGAAAUAAGGUCUCAAAUUGUAAUACUUCAAACCCUGUUUCAUUUUGAAAAUUACCUAUUGAAUAAGAAAGAAAAUACAUGUAAAGACCAGAGGGCUAAGAUAUGUAGGUGCUGACUUAUUAUACAGUAGACACACUUUUAAAAGGAUAGGGUUUUCACAUACUGUGCCUCAGGCAAAAUGGUGUUGCAAGCGUUCUACUCUGGCUCUCCAACCUGCUGGCUAGAGUUUAUCGCACCUCCCCAACUGCAUAGACCAAUUCCUCUUUUCUUUUUAAAAAUUUCUCUCCCUUUCUUGUUUUCUGUAAAUAUACCCUCCCCCCCACACUCCUUAAAGCAUCACAAUUUUAAAAAUAUUAAAAGCAAACUUUUCCAACCCUUAUAUGCAUUGAACCUCAACCGAAUAUUUCUUGCCCAGUAGCCCUGUUCUUUGGUUUUUUAGACAAUUCUAAUUGCUUUAAGGUUGUUUUCUCCUCUUUUUGGUUUGCUUCAUAUAGUGAGUUCAACGUGCCUCUCAAUAACUUCUAGCCAUUAGGCCGAAUUUUUGUACCUGGGAGUCAUGCAGGCUUUUUGCACAUAGUUACACAUUUCCCUUGCCUAAUUCACCUUUGCUUGAAUAAUUUGUGUAGCAUAAUCACUUUAAAAUAUUAAAGGACUUUGCGUUUGUGUUCCCCACAGUUCUGCAUGUCCCUUGUCUUUCCUCCAUAUGACAUUCAUGCUUCCUGCACCAGAGAUGGGAAAAAAGCACCAUGAAGAGGAUGCAGUCGAUUCUGUGUUCUUGGGAAGAUCAGGGCAGAGCAGAAAGAGCACUGCAUUAAAAGCAUCAGCCCUACAGCAAUGAAGGACAGCACAUUAGGUCUUAUGUGUCUGGUGACCAGGACCAGGAAGUACAAUGGGUCCCUCAGGAAUGCAGCUUGGAUGGGUAACACCUUAGGGUUAGAUGGAUCGCAGGCCCCACAAUGCCGUAGAAACAAUGAGAGCAAGAAAUGGGAGCUAGAAUUGAACUAGAUUAGGUCUCUUCUACUCAUUGGGGCCGUGAAACACAGUUUUAGUUGAGUUCACAGAAAUUUCUGGUAAGAUUUGUUGUCUGAGCAUGUAGAAUGAGUUCCACAUUAGUUC